rnacentral:rRNA from 1 species
AGUGAACGCUGGCGGUAGGCCUAACACAUGCAAGUCGAACGGCAGCACAGUAAGAGCUUGCUCUUACGGGUGGCGAGUGGCGGACGGGUGAGGAAUACAUCGGAAUCUACUUUUUCGUGGGGGAUAACGUAGGGAAACUUACGCUAAUACCGCAUACGACCUACGGGUGAAAGCAGGGGAUCUUCGGCCCUUGCGCGAUUGAAUGAGCCGAUGUCGGAUUAGCUAGUUGGCGGGGUAAAGGCCCACCAAGGCGACGAUCCGUAGCUGGUCUGAGAGGAUGAUCAGCCACACUGGAACUGAGACACGGUCCAGACUCCUACGGGAGGCAGCAGUGGGGAAUAUUGGACAAUGGGCGCAAGCCUGAUCCAGCCAUACCGCGUGGGUGAAGAAGGCCUUCGGGUUGUAAAGCCCUUUUGUUGGGAAAGAAAAGCAGCAGGUUAAUACCCCGCUGUUCUGACGGUACCCAAAGAAUAAGCACCGGCUAACUUUGUG